CCUCAGUAAGAGCAUUGAAGAUGGGUCGUGGCUGGGUCUUCAAGCAUGACAACGAACCAAAACACACAGCCAGGACAACUAAGGAGUGGCUCCGUAAGAAGCAUCUCAAGGUCCUAGAGUGGCCUAGCCAGUCUCCAGACCUGAACCCAAUAGAAAAUCUUUGGAGGGAGCUGAAAGUCCGUAUUGCCCAGCGACAGCCCCGAAACCUGAAGGAUCUGGAGAAGGCCUCUUGGUCCUGCGAUAUCUGCGUUCCUUUCAAGGCGCUCUCUCGCCCCAGGUGAACUGCAGGCGAAGAUGAAGAAACUCAUUGCAGUUCAAGCCGUAGACCUACAGGUCCCCCCAUCACUCCCUCGGCCUCUGCCUCCAGCUGACCAAGCCCCUGUUCCUGCCCCGGCCUCUGCUCCGCUGGGGCAGAGAGAAUUGGAUUUGCCCCGGUAGUCCUUCCUGCCUCCAAGGCCGCCCUCCGUUUCUCUGAAACAUUACCAUCCCUUCUCCCCCAUCACUCUCUCCUCUCACUCAGCUGCUGCUUCCACAGAGUUGGUGUUCAUCUCUCACCAAGGAGCAGCAGCGGUGGAUCGGCCGCACGCUGUUCACCAGGAAUUGCCGACCCGUGCCGUCAUCAUUGCUUGAACAAAAUGAGCUUCACAGGCAAGGAUAUUGCUGCCGGUAAGAUUGCACCUAAAUCAACCAUUUAUCGGAUCAUCAAGAACUUCAAGGAGAGCGGUACAACUGUUGUGAAGAAGGCUUCAGGGCGCCCAAGAAAGUCCAGCAAGUGCCAGGACCGUCUCCUAAAGUUGACUCAGCUGCGGGAUCUACAGAGCUUGCUCAGGAAUGGCAGCAGGCAGGUGUGAGUGCAUCUGCAUGCACAGUGAGGCAAAGACUUUUGGAGGAUGGCCUGGUGUCAAGAAGGGCAGCAAAGAAGCCACUACUCUCCAGCAAAAACAUCAGGGACAGACUGAUUUUCUGCAAAAGGUACAGGGAUUGGACUGUUGGACUGGGUUAAAGUCAUUUUCUCUGAUGAAUCCCCUUUCCGAUUGUUCCGGGGAAGACAAGGUGAGCGCUACCAUCAGACCUGUGUCAUGCCAGCAGUAAAGCAUCCUGAGACCAUUCAUGUGUGGGGUUGCUUCUCAGCCAAGGGAGUGGGCUCACUCACAAUUUUGACUAAGAACACAGCCAUGAAUAAAGAAUGGUACCAACACAUCCUCAAGAGCAACUUCUCCCAACCAUCCAGGAACAGUUUGGUUACGAACCAUGCCUUUUCCAGCAUGGAGCACCUUGCCAUAAGGCAAAAGUGAUAACUAAGUGGCCCGGGGAACAAAACAUAUAUAUUUUGGGUCCAUGGCCAGGAAACUCCCCAGACCUUAAUCCCAUUGAGAACAAUCCUCAAGAGGCGGGUGGACAAACAAAAACGUACAAAUUCUGACAAACUCCAAGCAUUGAUUAUGCAAGAAUGGGCUGCCAUCAGUCAGGAUGUGGCCCAGAAGUUAAUUGACAGCAUGCCAGGGCAGAUUGCAGAGGUUUGAAAAAGAAGGAUCAACACUGCAAAUAUUGACUCUUUGUAUCAACUUCAUGUAAAUGUCAAUAAAAGCCUUUGACACUUAUGAAAUGCUUGUAAUUAUACUUCAGUAUUUCAUUGUAACAUCUGACAAAAACAUCUAAAGACACUGAAGCAGCAAACUUUGUGAAAAUUAAUAUUUGUGUCAUUCUCAAAACUUUUGGCCAUAACUGUACAAUGACUGGGACCAGCUGGUGGUUCGGCUGGACAUCUGGCACCUGAUGGGGCAGUUCGCGUCAGGUGUCACCACUGAGAGCCACCAGCUCUACGGUCCCUUCAUGCGGCAGCUGUCAGCCUGCAUCUUUGAGUGGGAGGCGAUGUCCGCCGACUGCUGGAGGCCAAGAGGUCUGAGAUGGAGGGGAAGCACGGGAUGGUCGGUCUCACCGAGCAGAGACUGAGUGGAGAUGCGGCGACCAAAGUCUUUCUCCUUGACCUCUUUGAGACCUUCAACAGCGAGAAGGGGGUCGACACCCUGGGCAUCCCGUUGCUGGACUCCAUACGGAUGCGCCACAUCCACUGUAUACAGGACCCACGAGAUCGGCAAAUGCCGGUAUAUCGCUGAGCACGGGGCUCCACAUCCUUGGAGUCAUUCUACCUCCACCUCAACCGGUACCAGGGCAAUUGCAAUGCAUUUCCAGGCAUUCCUGUUGGAUGGACUGAUGAGGUGGAACGAGGACCGUGCGCAGGCAGCAGUGGAGGGAAAGAACAGGAAGCCCCUGCUCUCCUACAGUGGCCACCUGCAGCACAUCCUUAACCUUAGCAGCCAAAGGGUUGCUUGGCGAGGAACAGGGGGAACUCCCCAGAGUGGAGUACCUGUACUGGCAGAGUGCUGCAGGAUGUCAGCGCGGACCCUGACCUUCCGGAAGAGGCAGCCGCCAUCGAGCAGGACGAGGUUUUUCAGGAGGAGGUUGUGGACCAGACAGUCCACAUCCCUCAUGUCACUCCUAUGAGUGCCCCGUCCUCCAGCUCAGCGGCACCUCUGUCAGGGGAACCCGCUGACGCAUCCAGGUCUGGGCCAUCCAGUCCCACUGCCCUUGCAGACGGAAGCUCUCCUGAGGCCCCUGGUCGACACGGUUCUCCUCACCCUGACCCACUCCUCUGAUUCAGAGGUAAAUAUAAUUGAGCUUUUGUGUUGUUAAAAAAAUACAUGCUAUUGUAACCUCUUAAAUAAGGAAUUGAGACAAACUCAAGACACAAGUUAU
ensembl:lncRNA